rnacentral:rRNA from 1 species
GACGGGGGAUGCAAGUGUUAUCCGGAAUCACUGGGCGUAAAGCGUCUGUAGGCGGUUUCCUAAGUCCACUGUUAAACCUUGAGGCUCAACCUCAAAUCUGCAUUGGAAACUAGGAGACUUGAGUAUAGUAGGGGUAGAGGGAAUUUCCAGUGGAGCGGUGAAAUGCGUAGAUAUUGGAAAGAACACCGAUGGCGAAGGCACUCUACUGGGCUAUUACUGACACUCAGAGACGAAAGCUAGGGGAGCAAAUGGG